AGUUUAAAGAAGUUAUUUUAAAUGAAUCCUGCCCAGUGUAAAUUAUAAAUGGCCGCAGUACCCUGACUGUGCAAAGGUAGCAUAAUCAAUUGGCUUUUAAUUAAAGUCUGGAAUGAAUGGAAAUCUGGAAAAAUUCUGUCUCAAAAAUAUUAAGUUGAAUUUAUUAAUUAGGUGAAAAUACCUAUAUAGUAGAAAAAAGACGAGAAGACCCUUAGAGUUUUUAUAAUAUUUAAUAUACUUAUUAAAUUUGUUUUUGUUGGGGCGACAAUUAAACAUAUAAACUUUAAUUAAUUUCAUAACGAAAUUGUUAUAAAAGAAUAAAUUACCUUAGGGAUAACAGCAUAAUUUUUAAAAGUUUGUGACCUCGAUGUUGGACUAGGAACUUAAUGGCAAGCAGUCAAAAUAGAUUUGUUCUGUUCGAACAAUAUAAUCCU
rnacentral:rRNA from 1 species